rnacentral:rRNA from 1 species
UACGUAGGGCGCAAGCGUUGUCCGGAUUUAUUGGGCGUAAAGAGCUCGUAGGCGGUCUGUCGCGUCGGAUGUGAAAGCCCGGGGCUUAACCCCGGGUCUGCAUUCGAUACGGGCAGACUAGAGUGUGGUAGGGGAGAUCGGAAUUCCUGGUGUAGCGGUGAAAUGCGCAGAUAUCAGGAGGAACACCGGUGGCGAAGGCGGAUCUCUGGGCCAUUACUGACGCUGAGGAGCGAAAGCGUGGGGAGCGAACAGG